CCGCUAAGGGACCCGUGACCUUUCGGACUUAUCCGUGAAUCACGACCUAAAUUCCGGGGUGUUCGGUGGAGACGACCCUACCGCUCCCCCUGGUGGUCGUUUAUCGCCGCCGAACCCCGGCCCACAACAUGUGACCCUCAUAAUGCAUUUAGUGUAAUACCUCCAUACCUCCAUGGAAUACCUCCAUACAUGUAACCUCCAUAUAGCGGGGAAUUCAUCGUGUCCCAGACUUACAAAUUAGCUGGUGUUGUCGGUGAGAAGUUGUGUUUGCUGAACUUUUCCACGGCCCACAAAACAGAGAUUUCUUAUCGGUGGAAUCACUGCUGCGUCAACUAAUUUUGGGCGGUGUAUCGGUUUUCCAACAGGAUUUAUUCGACAGCGCAACUCAAAAUACGAGAAGAGAUAAUUACUUAUCCUUGAACAUGUAAUAUUAAUGUCUUGAUUUCGGAUGGACAAUAUUAUGCUUUCGAACGACCGAAUACGAAACCGUGUCCAUGAACGUUCUGAAGAAGUUUGAAGGAAAAUUAAUAUCGGGGUGAGGUUCUUCUUCUUCUAAAACCCGUGGUACUGUUACAGCGUCGGCUAAUCACUGUAUCGUCGUGGUCGCGCGGAAUUUCUGAGGAGAAUCGUAUGUUCGACGAAACUACACACACAACUGGUUAUGACAUCUGAGAUGACCACAACCUUCAUCACCUGAAUAUGCACCAAGGAUUGUUCACUGCAUUCAAAAAAAUAUCCAUAGGUAUUUACUUUCUUUUCUGUGAAACAUUUCAUGGGUUAUCCAAGUCUACCAGUGGUUCUCUGGUUUUCUUAUCCAGCCACUAGCAGGUGAAUGCCCAGUAUUGCCUCUCUUUUUAUUAGUGGGAUUCUGUGUCUCCAACAGGUCAUGACUGAAAUGGAGACCUUCCCAGGGUGGCUACGGACACAGGGCCUGACGUCAGAAACUGCUCAAGCAGUCAUCAUGGAGCUGGGUAUUGAGAACCGUCAGGUGCUCCAAGCCUGCACAGAGUCCGAUGCAUUGAGAGCUGAGCUCCUCUCAUGUGCACAGCAAAAGUUUCCUUUUGCAAUGUAUGCAGAGUUCCACCAAUUUAUGGAGUCUUGUGUGAAACCAGGAGCUAUCCAGUCUGCAAGCUCUUCUUCGGCACACAUAUUUUGCUUGAUGCUUGAGCAUGUAGGUGACAAGCUUUCUGGCUGUGCCCAGAAAUUGCGCUUGUUGAAAUCUUCACUCCUAUAUGCUGGAGUGACAAACGCUCAACUUCAAGAAACUGAUAUUGUGUCUGAGAUCAGGAUACAUGAUGUUUACAGCCUCCAGCCUAACGGUUCCAGGUUAAACCCCAACUCUGGUGAAGAUGAUUUUCAAAAGGCAACUGAUAUAACUCCAAACACCAGGAAAUCUGUUAUUAAAGAGUUGGAAGUUGCAGCUACACAGGAGUCCAGCAAUAUUUCAGAUCUUGACCCAGGUAAAAUGUAUUCUGCAAAAGUGGAAAGCCUCCAAGAGGACAAUGAUCCAUCUGCCUCAGAAGCUUCGAGAUGUGCUUCUGUAAAAGAAGAAAUAGAUGAUCAUACGACAGAUGAUGGUGUUGCCUGUUGGGAAACUGGUGCACAAAAGGAGAGUUAGUGCAUCGUCAGUAGAUUUAGAUUUGGUCAAGGUUUAGAGUUGGUCAGCCAACAAUGUGGUACAGACAACGAAAGAAAAAUCGGUCAGUUGAAAUCUGCCUGGAAACGAAAUCCAUCAAAGAGACUCAAAUCAAGUCCUGAGUUGUAUGCCAAAGGACAUCGUCUCCUAAGGAUGGCUACAAUCCAUAUAUGAUGUCAAAACAACAAUACCUGACAAGAUCCGUUCAAUCACUGCAGCCAAAUGUGUCAAAGUAAUGAACAAUUUUCCCUGUCGAAUCAAAGCGUGCCUGCAGUGUUGAGGCCGGCAUCUGGAGCAUGUGCUCUAACCUCAAUAAAAUCAGACAUUAAAGAUAUCCAUCUGAAACUUUGCAUGAUAAUCUUGCUUCGUGUGAAGCAAAUGUAUACUAAGCAUGUUGUUUUAUAUAAAAAAGGCUUAUUAAAAUGUAUGGGUAAUGUUUUUUUGGGGGGUGGGAGGCAGUUUCAUGCUACCUAACGUGGUCAAGACUCUUGGAAGGUCUAGAGCAGAAUGGAAUGGAGCAAAAUGGAAAGGGGGAGGGGGGGACAGAGUCUAAGUGUGUGUGAGGUCGAGUGGAGGGGGAGAAGGACUUGUGGGGUGAAUCAGCUGCACACAUGCUACAAUACAGUAAGAAGAGGAACAGGAAAGUGGGAAUGAAACAAAAAAUGAACAAACCCACAAAAAAGAGGUGAAGGAGAGGGGGAAAAAAAAUCAAUUAACCUGAGGUGGAGGUGAGCAGCAGUCUUGAAGCCUUGGUGGGAAGAAUAGGACUGAAGACGGGACGUUCGUUCCACAAGCGAGAGAACAGAGGGAAUAAAACAAAAACGGGUGGAGGUGAGCAGUGAGCCUGGAUAUUUUUUUUUUUGAGUUUAACAAAAUGAUGGUGAUUGACAGACUGUGUGUGCCCUGCAGAAACCCGGGAAGAACAACCAAGAGAGGGCAGAGGGUGCAUGAGCAAAAAGGAGGCAGUAGAAUACAGAAGUCGUCAACCUGUCUAGAAUGCAAAAGCAAGAAAGUAACAUGCCUAGAUACUCGGCUUUGUCACCAGAUAUCUCAAUUAUUUUCAGGACCUUGCUUUCCAUGACAUCAAGCUGAGAAAGGUGUGAGGCAGGGGUGACAGCCCAGAGGAGAGACAGAGCAAUACUCCAUCAAGUUGUAGAUGAAGGCCUUGUAGGUGGAUAAAAAUGCAGGUGUGCUGAAGAAGAACUUUGCAUGACAGAGGAUGCCCAUGUACUGGCUUUAGAGGCCAACUGAGAAGUGUGGUUUGCCCAAGAAACGACUUGGCUACCAAUGAUCGUCAAAGGUUUGACUGAACUGCUUCAAUAAUUAAUUCAAUAGAAUUGUUCAGAAAGUAGUUGGUCGUGGGAGGCGGGAGUGCGCGGGGGGGGGGGUGUGAGGUUUGCCAGAUGGUUCUUUCAAAGAGACACUGUGAAAGUGUGGAAUUUGUCAACAUUAAAAGGCAUAUUCCAAGUAGUUGACCAGCUCAUCAUUCCACCAAGGUCUGCAGAGUGGAGAGCAUGCUGCCUACCUUUCUGAAGGAUGAGAGAUGUUGCAGAGGGUGGAGUCAUCAGCAAAGAUAUGUAUGUGGGGUUCUCCAGAGAGCCAGAGAGAUCGUUCAUGAAAAUUAGGAAUUGUACAUGGCUCAGAAUACUGCCUUGCCGCACUCUAGCCUUGACAGGAAGUUGAGAUGAAAGGAUCCUGUUGAGAGCCAAACGUUAUUUCAGAACCACUGAAGUUAGUAAUCUAUGUAUGGAGUUGGCCUUGAAUUCCAUAGGCAGAGUUUUGAAAGCAACGUGGGGUGCCAGAUUGUAUCAAAUGCUCAAAAUAUUUGAAGAGAGAUGGCUCUGAUCUCAUGUUUGAGAUUAAUGGCUUCUUUUCAUUGUUGGGAGAGCAGGAAAAAGCAUUUUCAAGGUAGAGUGACCUGGUCUGAAUCCAGAGUGAUAAUCAGAGAUCAGACCAUGACAGAAAUGGAAGGAUUUGAUGUCAUUUGUGAUGAUAGGUUACGUCAUUUUAUUGUGAGUAAGCUGGUCGGCAAUAAAGAUGAUUGGUUUUUCACAUGGCUUAUGAAAUUGAGUGAUGUUUGCUGACUUCCAAGCAGCUGGAAGAUGACAGAGGAUGCGCAAGAACCUGAUUUUGGGAUGCUUGCACUGAUGCCGUCUGAUGUUGCAAAAUCAGAUGUGAAGGAUGCAAGAAACCUCUCCAUCUUCUCAGGUGCCAAAGACAGUCCAAGAGUAGUUGGGUGUGACUGGGUAGAGUGGGUACAGAGAGUGAGCUGUUGGAAACACAAGAUUUGGAAUAAAAUGGAAUUGAGGCAUUCUCACAAGUGGUCUGCUGUGGUGCCUUUUGAAGUGAGGGAAGGGAGGGGGGGGCAUACUCCAGAGACGGACAGCAAGAUGUCAUCAAGUUUUUGAGGAGGGAGACAAGUUUGAAAGUUCAAUCUUGAGGUUGGUCAGGUGUUGUUUUCUGACUUCUGAGAGUGGACACUUGUUGAGGGCUUUGCUGAAUGAUCUGAGGUUCCCAUCAGUCGGAAUUGCCUUCCAGGAAAACGAGGCCAGUUGUUUCAAAGCAAUUGUCUCACCAUAGGAUUCAUUGUACUUUGGGUGAGAGGAAAGGUAUGACAACUGAAAUCGAAAUGGGAUGGAUCUGUGUAUGAGAAAGUGCAGGCUUCUGUUGUAUAAUUCCCAAGCUGAGUUAAUAAUGGGCAUCAGAUAUGCGAGACCAGUGCUGAAGUGAGAUUACUGCUUGCCAAUCUGCCCGAGUUAACUGCUUGACUUGCCGGCGGUUCGCCGGCUCAGAAUAACCAGAGAGAUAGUGACUCUUACAAGCACAUGAUUAGAUGAACCAAUUGGAGCAGAUGAAGAGCAGGAGACAUUAGCAGAAAAGUUGGUCAUCACUCAGUCCAGAAUGGAGGAUUUGCAAUUGACAUAAAUCUGGUUAUAAAGUUCACAGAUUGAGUCAAUUCUGUGGAGUCACAGAAGUCCUUUGUUGAUGUGCCAUGGGUGGUUGAAGAGUAGUUUGCAGCCAAUUGGCAUGGUUGCUGUUGACAUUGCUGCACAUGAGGAGAAGAGAGUUAGGAUUGGUAAUUAUUCAAUGGUCGAUGUUGGCGGAGAGACAAACAGACAUUCACAGACAGAUGAAGUUGUUCCUCUUUGGUGGACGGAACAACACACAGACAAACAUGAGGUGGGAGUGGAGGGAAAGUCUCGAGCAAAGGUACACGUGGGGUUUGGGAGGUGUAAGGGGAGCAUGCAGACAGUCAGAAAUGGAGACGUCAAGAUACAGUAUGUCUACGGAGAUGACUGAUCUCAUGUCUGAGAUUGAUUAAGGGCUUCCAUCCCUUUUUUGGGAAAGUUAAGGAAGCAUUUUCAGGGUAGAAUGACCAGGUCUAAAACCAAACUUAUGAUCUGAGAUCAGGCUGUUAGAGAAAAAGAUUUGUCGACUGCAAUGCUCGAUUUCAUGACCUUGCUUAUAAUUUGAAGCAAAGGUCCUGAGUUCAAGCCCCAUUGGCUGCUUGAAUUAAUACACACCAGGAGGUUGACUCAGCCUGUCAUCCUUCCGAGGUCGGCGAAGUGGGUACCAGUGUACUGGGUCCGGUGUAUGCCCCGGUUAGAAUAGGUGUACCAUAUCCCUGUGUCGUAAGAGGCGACCAGGGUUGCGUCAGGAAGGGCAUCCGGCAUAAAGCCUGUGCCAAAUCAUUAUGCGGAUCAUAACGGAUGAUCCGCUGUGGUGACCCCCUAACGGGAGCAGCCGAAAGAAGAAGAAGAGAAGACAUUGUGGAUCGUUUCCUCCUGUCCACAACUACAUCUGUCCGCCUCCAGCCCCUCCCUAGUCACACGCAUUUCUCAAGAAACCCUCACCUGCUCACCCUCCCCACAUCCAGAAUUUAAUUGCCCAUUUGCAUUCAUUUGUCCACUUUUUCUUCUGAUUGUGGAAUCAUUUCCUUGGGGUUCUCAGUAAAUAAGAAUGUCCAAGUGCUGGGUUGAGGUUUCAUGCCAGAUACCUUUACCUAUUUAGCAAGUGUGCUUUAAUUAACUCUUAAAAAAUGAAUACAUAUACACUUGACUUGAAUUCAAUUUUGUAGCAUUGUAAAGUACAUGUUCCAGCAAGCUAUUGACAAGGAGUUGUAUGCAGGUGAUAUCUUUCUCAUAAAAGUUGAAUAUGUACAAGACAAUGAUUCAUCAACCCUUCAACCUUUGGGUUGUUUCUGUAAAGGAAGAUCCAGUUGCUGUUCAUGUGCCUAACUGAAAAUCUGACUGUUCUGUAUAAGGUGAGCACAUCUGUGCAAAAUAUUUAAUCCUCAUCUGGAUAAUUUUAAUAUUUUGAAAUCUUAUUAAAUAUUCUGAUGCUGACCAAAUGGGAUGUUCACUUU
ensembl:lincRNA